rnacentral:rRNA from 1 species
GUUGUCGGGUCUUAAUUGACUUGGUAACGCAGCUAACGCGUGAAGUAGACCGCCUGGGGAGUACGGUCGCAAGAUUAAAACUCAAAGGAAUUGACGGGGACCCGCACAAGCGGUGGAUGAUGUGGAUUAAUUCGAUGCAACGCGAAAAACCUUACCUACCCUUGACAUGUACAGAAUCCCGAAGAGAUUUGGGAGUGUUCGAAAGAAAACUGUAACACAGGUGCUGCAUGGCUGUCGUCAGCUCGUGUCGUGAGAUGUUGGGUUAAGUCCCGCAACGAGCGCAACCCUUGUCAUUAGUUGCUACGAAAGGGCACUCUAAUGAGACUGCCGGUGACAAACCGGAGGAAGGUGGGGAUGACGUCAAGUCCUCAUGGCCCUUAUGGGUAGGGCUUCACACGUCAUACAAUGGUACAUACAGAGGGCCGCCAACCCGCGAGGGGGAGCUAAUCCCAGAAAGUGUAUCGUAGUCCGGAUUGUAGUCUGCAACUCGACUACAUGAAGUUGGAAUCGCUAGUAAUCGCGGAUCAGCAUGUCGCGGUGAAUACGUUCCCGGGUCUUGCACUCACCGCCCGUCA